GACGGGACAAGUGCGACGUGCCGCUUGGCAUCCAGGAUUAGCGGCUCCAUCACGCGUACACGUGGCCUGUCGGGUUGGGACCUUGCGCUGAUGGCGGGCUGCUGCACCCACCACAAAACGGACCACCUCGGGGACCCAAGUGCAUGACCAGAAGUGCCGUGAAAAGGACUAACUUUGAUCCCAUUAGCUGGUGAACCCCUGCAGUCGGCUGAGGUGACGAAGACACACAACUCCUGGUCACUUCUGCUCAAGAGACUUACUGAUCAUCUGAUGGGAAAACCACCGGAAGCCCCACCAGGUUUCACGUCCGCCUCCUUCAGACCUCAUUUCCACCAAAUCCCAGUUGGACCCUCUUCUUCCUCUCCACCAACGAUAAAGACAACCACCUGCCUUUCCCCAGCAGUUACACUUUGACUCCGUCUCUAUUGACUACUCGGUAGGAAGACCACUGCUCUUCAAAACAUCCUUUACAAUACAUGGGGUGGAUCCCCCCCAACCCGCUCCCUGUAUAGUUGUGUUUCGCUUACACGAGUGACCAACUUCUGCCUUCUAGUGACCAACAGGAUUGUUCAUCCGAGCCUCAAGUUUCCUACAAUCAACUGACCCACAGGCCACACUCAGGAGAUCCAGAGCGCCAAGCAGAACAUACAGAACAGCAACGUUAUUAGUGUUGGAUUGGUAGUAAAGUGUUCACUUCGGUACCAGCUUUCAGAACUCCGUACCACCAGCAAAACGGUUCCAAAACGAAUAACGGACAACUCCAAAUCUCCCCAUCUUACUCCAGCCUACCUCAUCGCGUACCCCUUCAGUCGACGCAAAGUCUCAGGGAAGGGAGGGUUUGUGUGUCACCUGAAGUCCCAAUUGUGCUGAAAGAAGUGGAGGAGGUGGGGUGUCACGUGAGGUCAAGAUUGCGGCAAUGGUUAAAGUCACGUGAAGUCCCAAUUGUGUCAAAAGCAAGGGCGGAGUCAGCUGAGGUCACGCUGGUGCAAGGGGAGGGGUUGUGUCAUAUCAAAGCAUUUUGGGGGGCAUGUGAGAUCAAGACUGUGUCGAUGCAAGGAGAGAGGGGUUGUGUCAUGGAACGUCCCGAUUGAAUUAAAGCAUUUUUGGUCACAUGAAGUCAAGAUCAUGUCGAAGAUGGGGGGUUUAAAUCACAUGAA